AUUGAAACAUUUCUUGCAAAUAUAUUUUGACACUAGUCGUCAUUUGGGGAUUUAAAGAGUGCAAUGCAGCCCCUAAGUCUAAAAAACCAAGAUUAUCAAAAAUUUCAAAAUCUUGGCCCAAAGAACGAACUUAGUCCUAUCUCACCACCAAACAUAGCUAGCUUGAAAAGCAACUAAAUUGAAACAUUUCUUGCACUAUAUUUUGACACUAGUCAUCAUUUGGGGAUCUAAAGAGUGAAUUCAGCCCCUAAGUCUAAAAAGCAAAGACUUUAAAGAAUUUCCAAAUCUUGGAACCAAGCACCAACUUAGUCCAGUCUCAUCACCAAACAUAACUUGCAUGAAAGUAACUAAAUUGAAACAUUUCUUGCACCUAUAUUUUGACACUAGUCGUCAUUUGGGGUUUUAAAGGGUGCAUUAUAGGCCCUAUGUCUAAAUAAACAAGACUUUAAAAAAUUUCCAAAUCUUGGCACGAAGCACCAACUUAGUCCAGUCUCUCCACCAAACAUAGUUUUCUUGAAAAGCAACUAAAUGGACACAUUUCUGGCAUCGAUAUUUUGAUACUAAUUAUCAUUUAGGGAUUUGAGGAGUGCACUGCUGCCCCUAAGUCUAAAAAACCAAGACUUUCAAAAGUUUCCAAAUCUUGGCACCAUGUACCAACUUAGUCCAGUCUCACCACCAAACAUAACUUGCUUGAAAGCAACAAAAUUGAAACCUUUCUUGCUCCUAUAUUUUGAAAUGGUCGUCAUUUGGGGAUUUAAACAGUGCAUAGCUGCCCCUAAGUCUAACAAACCAAGACUAUCCAAAAUUUUCGAAUCUUGGCACUAAGCACCAACUUUGUCCAGUCUCCCCACCAAACAUACCUUGCUUGAAAAGCAACUAAAUGGACACAUUUCUUACACCUAUAUUUUGACACUAAUUAUCAUUUGGGGAUUUAAAGAGUGCACUACUGCCCCUAAGUCUAAAAAACCAAGACUUUCAAAAUUUCCAAAUCUUGGCACCAAGUACCAACUUAGUCCAGUCUCACCACUAAACAUAUCUUGCUUGAAAAGCAACUAAAUUGAAACAUUUCUUGCAUUUACAUUUUGACAUUAGUCGUCCUUUGGGGAUUUUAAGAGUGUAUUGUAGCCCCUAAAUCUAAAAAACCAAGACUAUAAAAAAUAAUAAAAUCCUUGCACCAAGCACGAACUUAGUCAUAUCUCACCACCAAACAUAGCUAGCUUGAAAAGCAACUAAAUUGAAACAUUUCUUGCGCCUA
rnacentral:lncRNA from 1 species